rnacentral:snoRNA from 1 species
ACUUUGAUGAUAAAUUUUGGUCCGUGUUUAUGAAUUUCUUUGAUUAUCGAACUCUGUUCGUUCCAAUAACUGACUGCA